UAGGGAAUAUUGGGCAAUGGAGGGAACUCUGACCCAGCCAUGCCGCGUGCAGGAUGACGGUCCUAUGGAUUGUAAACUGCUUUUGUACAGGAAGAAACAGUUCUACGUGUAGAACCUUGACGGUACUGUAAGAAUAAGGAUCGGCUAACUCCGUGCCAGCAGCCGCGGUAAUACGGAGGAUCCAAGCGUUAUCCGGAAUCAUUGGGUUUAAAGGGUCCGUAGGCGGUUAGAUAAGUCAGUGGUGAAAGCCCAUCGCUCAACGGUGGAACGGCCAUUGAUACUGUCUGACUUGAAUUAUUAGGAAGUAACUAGAAUAUGUAGUGUAGCGGUGAAAUGCUUAGAGAUUACAUGGAAUACCAAUUGCGAAGGCAGGUUACUACUAAUGGAUUGACGCUGAUGGACGAAAGCGUGGGUAGCGAACAGGAUUAGAUACCCCAGUAGUCCCUGAGCGGGCUGGCAAGGCGCAU
rnacentral:rRNA from 1 species